UACAGAGGGUGCGAGCGUUGUUCGGAAUCAUUGGGCGUAAAGGGCGUGUAGGCGGUUUGUUAAGUCAUGUGUGAAAUCCCUCGGCUCAACCGGGGAAGGACGCAUGAAACUGGCAAGCUAGAGUACCAAAGAGGGGGGUGGAAUUCCCGGUGUAGCGGUGAAAUGCGUAGAUAUCAGGAAGAACACCAACGGCGAAGGCAGCUCGCUGGGACGGAACUGACGCUGAGGCGCGAAAGCGUGGGGAGCGAACAGG
rnacentral:rRNA from 1 species